UCCCGUAAUUUGCCUAGAAUACCACCUUGAUUGAGUGUCCUUGUGAUUUGGGCUGGGAUGUUACAUGGCAACGUGAUCAAUAUUCUCAAGACAACGGAUACAUGUGCAAUUAUAGGAAGGCUAUUCUCCUUAAGACCUUGUGAUGGUAAUGGUAGCCUUUGAUUUUCUUAGCAGGAAAGGUAGCAGGAAAUUCAAAGAACUCAAGAGGUGCCAAGCGUGUUAGAUCUUUUGAAUUAUUUUCCAUUAGUGCUAAGACAGCUUCCUGAGUAUAACACAAAAGAAAGCUUUCAAGGGUCUGUUUUUAAGAUCGUUCAAUAGCGUUCGCAAAGGUGAGACGAUGGAAAUUGGCGUAAUAAUAAUAUGAGAAAGGUGCAGAUAUACAUGUAUAUUUUUUAUAUAUAUUUUUUUUUUGGGUACAUGUAAAGUGGCUGUGAGCUGAAGGGGCAGUCCGGAGGCAGCUGGACGCCUUUGCGAUGUUCUGACUCAUUGGCUCCACGCCAUUAUCCGUCCGCUAAUGGACUGACCCUGAAAGGGCGCGGGCAAAAAUCACCUGCUGUUCCUCCCCAUCAGCUGAAACCGCGGCGGCGGCGGCGCAUUACCCAGGCCCAUGCGCAUGUGGGAGAUCAGAGUCAUUAGCAUUCCUUUCCUUCGCCUCCAUUUGCUCAACACCCCCCCCCCCCCCAACCGCCCACCCCCAUCCCCCACCGCCCAUGCUCCAGUGUGUUUCUCGAUUUUGUUAAACACAGACACCCUGCAGUUAGAGACCUGCUCUGGGUCGCCUCUUGAGUAAUGAUGAUGCAUAGAAGGGAGAAAAGCUAUUAGGAGCGCGUUGCCUUAAAGCGUCAGUGUGCGCGCGCGCGCACGUCACUUGUUCUUUCUCAUUUUGGGAGUCUUUGUCACGCCGGCCUCACCCCGCCUCACGCAUGCAACUUUGCGUCAAGGUCAGUUUGUGAAACCAAGAGGAAAACGGGUAGUGGUGUUCCAAAACCGUGUCCAAUUCAAGAUGGGAGUGAUCCUUUGGGCAUUCAUGUUCCUAAUAAGGAGAUUGGUCACUACAGUGAAUUUUAAAUCACCACGGUGAUAUUUAAUAGUGUAUUUUUGAGCAUGCAUUUAUUCAAAAAAAAAAAAGUGGGACUAGAGGGCUACCAUGCAUUCUUAUUAGGCCAGUAUUAUCCAGUUGGAUGUGGCCGUUAAAAAAAAUCUAGAAACUUCAGAGAGUCCAAUAAAUAACCUUAUGCAAGUUGCAUGUCAAUGCAUCAAGGGGAGAGGUUGUGUUUUCCGAAACAUUGAGGUGGACAUCAUUGGUCAAAUGCCAAUCUCAUUGGGCCUCAUUCACAAAACUUGCAUAUUAUCAAAUUUGGUCAUCAGCUGUGCUUGCAAACAUUUCCACAACCAUUUUGGCCUGUUCUAUUUUUAAUUCUUAACAUGUUACACUUCAGGGAAAGUUGUCUUUGUAAUAUUGCCAUAAGGUAAUGAAUGAUAUUUAUUUGUCACUACUUUCUCAGCCACAGAGUAGUCAUCCUGCUAUACAGCAAAGCAAUAUGUGAACCCGUGUCACUACCUGGCAGUAACUUUGCCUCCAUAAUAAGGCAGAUUUUAGCAGUCACCUUCAAGCCAACCUUCAUACGAGUAGGCUGUAAUAUGUUCCACACUGUAGUUUCACUGCCAGUGAAAUGUCUUCAGAUUGGAGCUUCAGCGGACUGCUUGCUGUAACAUGUUACAGAACACGCAAUUAUAUGGCGGGCUGUAAUUCUCCUUCAGCUGUCGUCAUGUCCUCUUGUGUUAAAUAACAGUUUCUGCGAGGGGGGGAGGUGGGAGGGGAUGAGGGGGAGGUGGGAGGGGGAGAGGAGACAUCCUGGACACAUCCAGUGGAACAGCUCUGGGUUUGAUGUAAUCACUAGCAGCCAUUGCAGAGUAGCAUAAUCUUCUCAAAGGGCUUGUGCAAAUUUCUAUUGUUUCGUUUCGAGAGAAAGCGGCGGAAUUGAAUUCAAGUCAUUUCCCACACAUGCGCUGUGCAGAGUGAGGGGGUGGAGACGGUGAAUCUCGGACAUUACAUUACAUUUAUUUAGCAGACAUUUUUUUCCAAAGCGACGUACAAAAGCUGAUUCUAAGGGAUCGUCGCCUUCCGGGGCCGUAGAACACGUUAAACAGCGACGGUCAAAGGUGAACGAGGGGCUGACCACGAUGCCGUUCGCAUUUCUGGAAGCUUCCGUAUAAAUUAUUCCGUUUUAUAUUCCAUCCUAAGCUUCUGUGUUCGUGUUAUUAGCACUUGCCUGUUGAUUAAAUUUUCUUUUAAAUUGUUGACUUGAGCUUAACUAAGUUUUAAGAGCAAAGCAAUCAUGCCAUGUUACUCUGUCUUCUAAAGCCUUGUGUAUCUGCGUGUUGCAGGAGCAGAACACCCCAAAGGAGAAUGAUGCGGCUAUUCCUGGUUGUCCUUGCUCUUGCCUGAAGGCCAAUAUGGUCCUCAGUCUCCUUGUGGGGGAGACUGGUGACAUACAGGAGGAAGAUGUUAAAGAGCACAGGUGCCAGCAUGCAUCUUUGCCUCACUGCGGUUUGUACUUGGAAGGCCACUGACUAUUGUCCACCUGUGGUUACCCAAGCCAUUAUACUCAGCAGGUUCACAGUUUGGGAAACCAUAUUUGAGAAGGACAUCCCAUAGAAGUUCCCUACUCAUCGAAGGCUUUGGACAGGUCUCCAAAGAUUAUGAAGAAGUCUUGAUGUUGCUCACGGCACUUCUUGGAGUUAUCACGCUGUGAAUAUCAUGUCAACUCUUUCUAAAACCACACAGUACCUCUGUGAUGUUAUUCACCAGCCUGUGUAGCAUCACCUUGGCCAGAACCCUACCAGCCACAGCCAGAAGGGAUAUUACCUGACUGUUGCCACAGAUGGACUUGUCCCCCUUGUUCUUGUAGAUGGUAUGGAUGAUUGCAUUCCACCAUUGUUGAGGGUCAGACUCUCCAUCUGGUGAGUUGCUUGCCAUGCUUCAGUAGUUCUGCAGGGAUGUUUUGAGUGCCAGGCAACAUGUUUUUUGGGGAUCUGAUAGGCAUUAGAACCUCUUGGAAUGUUGACAGUUGCUUGAAGGCUUUAAUGGAUGGCCGUCCAGGUAGCUCUUCCGAGAUGGUAUUGUCUGCUGUGGUGUGCCAAGCUCUACCGAAUAAUAUUUUGGUUUUAAUCUUAAGGACUAUCACACAAUCAGCUGUUUUCAGGGGGGUGACAAAGCAGUUUCUAAGACCGUAGAAAUUGUGUUAUAUUUGUUGAAAUUGUGCAAGUCAUUUUUAUCGACAAAUGUUUGGAUUUCCAGUGCCUUUCUUAUCCACCACUCAUUUAGCAGAGCACGUACGUUCGUUUGUGCCUCCUUACAUGCUAUUCGCCAUCGUUGCUGGAGGUUGCCGGAUGGGGGGUUGUUCAUUUUUUCUGAGUUCUCGUCAAACCUCUCCUAGGUUGUGUGUGCCAUAGGAAAGGUUCCAGCCAAAAAUGUAAUUUUAAAUGUGAUUUUUUGAUAAAUAAUAAACCAAUACACACACUUUAACUGGGGAAGAAGGGGAAUCUGAGUCUGUUACAGGUACUUGGCAGCAGAUAAAGGACACUGCCUGGGAAUUGUCAUGCACACAAGUUUAUUUACAACGAGGCAAGACAAGGCCGGUUGGCAACAUGCAGACCACAAAAAAAAAUGCGAAAAGCGACAGUUUUCAGUCCGUCAGUCUCUCUCUCUGCCAACUGCCCGCAUGCGCCUCCUUACUCGAGCCCCGUUCUUGCUGCAGGCGGAACAGAUACAUUCAUAUUGGUUAUUGAAUUGCCUGCAGCUGCAGGCCAACUUAGCCACGCCCCCCUGCUCCCCACCUGCAGCCGGUGCCGAGAACCACGCCCCUACUCUCAAACACUGGUUAACUGAAGUAUGCUGAGUGCAGGAUGUUUUCAGUUUUAAGCCCUUGCACCAAGAGGACAAAGUAGCAGUGUAAAAGACGAGACUCCCAUAUGGCUGCAUAGUCGGAACAAGAGCAGAACCCUACGAAUAGAAAUAUAAUUUUUUUGAUCCAGCUAACUCAUUUAUCAUUUUGUUUGCCCUGGCUAUGAACAUUGCUGUAUUCAGCAGAUUUUCCACCUGGAUCAAAUGUGCACUCUUACAUGAUGCAUUGUUUUUCACUAAGUUUCUGGUUAACUGAGGUACAUUUGUAAGGGAGGCGUUUAAUUGAGGCUGGUGAUUAAAGUAUUAAACUCAUGUAGAACAUAAAUGCAUCACCGUGUCAAGCUGUUAUGACUUGCUAAUCUAUUAUUUGGAGUACUGCUAUUUGGAGUAGUGGCUUGGACCACUGCUGGUUUCAGUGUGCAUGGUUUUGAGUCAUAAGGUUGUCUGUACCUCAUAUGUCAUUUGAAGGUUGUGUGCUUCUUUUGUGCUGUUUGAGGCUACAUAGAAUAGGGAGAGAAAGGAGUAAAGGUCAGUCAACAAGACAUGUCAGUGGGUGUUUUCAAUGACAUGAAGUUUUCCACAACUACAUUUCCCACCUACAUUAACAUUUGGUAUGUUAGGGGUACUGGGGUAUAAUCAGGGAGUUUCAAGUUCACACAAAGACACACAAGAGGGAAUUCAUUAAAUUAAAAGGAAAAAAAAAAACCCAGAGUUCUUACAAAUACAUUUUAAUUUCUCACCACAAUUACAAUACAAGAUGGUAGGAAAUAUAAUAUAUUUGACAUAUGCCAUCAUGUAUAACAUGGGUUGUCUUAACAGGUAAAGGCCAAUCGGUCAAAUAAAAGCGAGAACAAUGUUAAAAAGUUAACUAGAUAUGACUGUGGAUUUAUGCUCGUGUAACUCUGGCAACAGUAAUGUGAAUAAGCUGCACAGAAUGUAAUGUGUGUGAAUGUGCAGAACAGAAAAUGACAGCACCUGUGAACUGUAGUAAAAUAAAACUGCAUUGAAAAUA